UACGAAGGGGGCUAGCGUUGCUCGGAAUUACUGGGCGUAAAGCGCACGUAGGCGGAUAUUUAAGUCAGGGGUGAAAUCCCAGAGCUCAACUCUGGAACUGCCUUUGAUACUGGGUAUCUUGAGUAUGGAAGAGGUAAGUGGAAUUCCGAGUGUAGAGGUGAAAUUCGUAGAUAUUCGGAGGAACACCAGUGGCGAAGGCGGCUUACUGGUCCAUUACUGACGCUGAGGUGCGAAAGCGUGGGGAGCAAACAGG
rnacentral:rRNA from 1 species